CCCACUGAGCCAUCUCACCAGCCCCAGAAAAAAAUUUUAAACUUAAGAAUAUUUAGGCCAGGGGCUGGAGAGAUGGCUCAGUGGU
rnacentral:pre_miRNA from 1 species